ACCGCCUAUUAUAAUGUUGUCCAUCACAGCUAAAAAGUUUACACCUAGGCUGUAUAACAAAGAAGAAUAGAUUACAGGGUAUGUGUGUGAUUUACUCAAAGACACUCAGCAGAGAAGCCACACUGUGUGCGAAGAUACUGAAAUUAGCUCACAUUUACUGGCACGCAGUUUUAAGUUCAGUGAAAGUGAACCAUGCCUGAAACAGUCUAACACUUUGUUGUUUGCAUUUCUGACUGUUUUAAUGCCCGUGGGUGAGCUUGAUUAUGCUUGUCAGUAUAUCCCUGUGUGCACAUAUGUGUGCACAGCCGCAUCUGUUCAGCAGGUCACAUGAAACGUGCUAGCACAAUUGCUGAAGGGGGUUAAUUAUCCAGCUUUUUUCUUAGCGUGGGACAUCAUCCCUGUGCAAAGCAGAGAUUGAGACAGGGUCUCUGAAACCACUGCGACCAAUUGUUCUCUCUCUGUCAGGCAAAUAACAGGCUGGCGUUCACAUGUAGGGUGGCUUUAAAUGGCAUAGAUGCUGGGGGGGGCUUCAUCUUUCCAUUUCAAAAGUAGCGAUUUACAACAAAAUAAAAAACGUUUUACGAUCCUAAAAUUUACGCAAGAUUCCCUGAAUUCCUUUUCUCUUUUUCACCUCUCUGUCUUACAGUCUGUUUCUGCUUUCCCUCUUCAUCUCUCUGUGGCGAAACACAAGACCUUUAGCAGAUACUACAGGGUCUCUAGAGCUUGCAAAUCCCUGGGAGCGCUCCCACAGCAGCUACGAGCCCAGCCUGGGGCUCCCUACCUGGGGCUCUGUGCUGUUGAUGUCUCCUUGGGGACCUGAAGACAUGGGGGAGGUAGGCUAGAGGGAUAAACACAAAUUUAAUACUGCUGGGAGAAUUUAAGAGGUGAGAGUAAUGGAGAGGGCAAGAGAUGUUAUGAAAGCAGAGGGACUCGGAGAAUAAGUGAUUCAAAAAAGUAGAGAAAAGCUGGUAUGAAUAAAGGAUAAGCGAAGCUGCAGGCAUAGUAAAGUAUGUAGUUAUUUCCCUUGGGCAUGGGCAGGUAAGACUGGGCAGAUUUCCCAAAUGCAAAUGGAACAAAAGGUGAACGAGUUUUUUUUUUCUUUCUUUCUUUUUCAAGAGGGUGUGAUGAGUGCACUUGAUGCCACACAACUAUGAAAGAAGUCGGUACACGUACACGUCAUAGUUUUCGGGCAUGUAUUGCUUAGCAUUGCUGUUUAUUAUUUUAUUAGUAUGACUGUUAUUCUUCAUCCCAGUCCUUGGUUCCUGGGAAGCAGUUGUCCUAAAUACCAUAAAUCCCAAUAAGGAUGUACCAAGCAUUCUCCACAUGAGGCUUGGGAAUAUUUAUGCAUUGCAUUGACUUAAAUAGGAAUUUUUAUAUUUGGGGAUUUUAUAUGAACCAACAAAAUAACAUUUUUUGUUUAUAUUUAGCUAAUGUGCUUGCCAUCUGUGGAAAACUGAGUUGCACUUGAGCAAUUACUUUAUAAACUUACUUUGUUAUCGUAGCUGUAGUUCGGCAUACUUGACCUCCUUUAUAAAUGCGACAGUAAACUGGUUUUUCAAUUUACCGGUAUAUAAAGCCUGUAUUUUCGAGAUUUACUUCUGACACUGUGUACCUUCCAGCUUGGCCCCAUAUUUUAUCGUUGAAGUUUAUAGACCUGUCCAGCCUGUUUCUGUUUUCAUCAACAGCAGAUAAUAUUUUUAAGUUUGAAUCUAUUUGCAUCAUAAAUGGAUGCAAAUGCAUGAGUAGCACCUGUGAACAUUGUCGGUUUUGUGUGUCUUUUACUGAUGUUGCCGUGCAUUUGACAUUUGAGAAAACACGUCUGCAUAUAUGCGUGCAUAUGUGUGUGCAUUUGUGUGCGUGUGUAUGUGUGAAGCACAACAGUGUAAAGAGUAUGCUAACAUAAAGCCACAGGGAAUGGAGGGCACUACUGAUCUCCCGCCAACAGAAAAGGUCAAACUCCUCAAUAUUAACUCUAGCUCAGGUCACCACGCUGAUUAUGCUACAAUAACCAUUUUACGCACUGCAUCUAUGGACCCCGUCCACCCACACAUUGAUGCACUUUUUUUACUCUGCCAGUCCUCACACGUCCGUUUGGAAUUAAAACCCACCCCGAGAGACAGCCCUGUCGGCGCCCCAUGCAGACAUACAUUAACACAUUCUCGCACAAUUGUCCACAAGCAUAAACCCUGAGCCCUCAGAGACCACUGCUCCCCAUGCUACACCACACAGUGGAAAUAUAAGUUGAUAUGGCAGAAGUGUGAAAAUGCACACGUUCAUGCACGCACACACACAGAUUGCAGAAGUCACAAACGUACAACAGCAACAGAGCUCCAAGAAUGUGAUGGCGUUACAUUCGAGACUUGACGAGACGUUCAGCCGUGACCUAGACGGAUCUCAGGAUUUCUUCACUAUGUCACACUGGAGGUAGAUGGUAAAGACAUGAACCCUUUCAUCUUUCUCAGGCACUGCUAGCAUCCCUUUCUUAGGUUCUGACCACAAAAAUUAAAUUAAAUUGGUAAUUUCCACUUACCAAGUUUACCAGAAGAGAGGGUGAAGUAAGCAAACUGUGUUUUCUGUGAGAGUGUAGACCAGGGAUGAAUGCUAUGUUGCAAUAUUUGGGGGGAGAUGAUGCAAAACUUCCAAAUUCAUCAUCCGUAUGUUUUCUUUAUGCCUCAUAAAUGCAAUCACCAUUUUACCCCAUGUGCAUGUACAGUUUUUUUGCAAACCUGUUGACAGUGCAACUAAGCUUCUGUAGCCUUGAAAGAAAACGAGGAACGGGCAUAUGUGAGUGGUUGAAACCUAUGCUCUACCCCUUGUGUCAAUAAUUAUGAAAAAUGAAACUGACUAAUUUUCCUUGGUGGUAUUCUGAUUGCUGUCACAUUCACAACUGGAAUUUAAUAAAGUCCGCAGUGAUGAAUGCAGAAAAAGACAGGGGAAAAAAUGAAACAAAGCUAAAUAUAUAAAUAAAGUAAAAUGAAAAGAGCAGAAGUCAUCACGAGUGAAUUAAUUUUGGCUCAGCAGUGGAGCUGUAUUAAAUGACACCUCAUGAAAUGUGUGGCUAAAGCUGUCAUCUCCAGUGCCUCCUUUCCACAUUGAGUCAUCCUAAUCCUGUUUAAUACUGUACUGCUAAAUGGCUAUCUGUCCUACCCACAAAGUCUUAGAGUGUUGUGUUAAAAUAUGUGACUGAGUGUUUCCUUUCAUUACAGUUCCAAAGAAAAGGAGUGCAGUGGUGCGGAUACAAAUAGAGCCUGAUUACAUUUAAUACUAAACCAUCAAGGAUAUAAGGUGUACCGGAGGAUGGAAUCAGGGAGCUGUCAUGACGCGCGGUGCCCAAUGAGGGCAGAAGUUCCUCGGCUACCUUUUCAGGCACAAGGACCCAACAACCACAGUCCCCAUGCUGGAAUGAAAGCAGAGAGAUAGAUGAAAGCAGCAGAGGGGAUGACUCCCCUGAUCCCCUCCUGUCUUCUCCGUCACCCACCCAGAGGAAAAUUUAAUAAAGUCCACAUACCAAGAGAGAGGAAAGAAUACAUGAAAGGAAAGAUGGAGAGAUGGAAAGAUGGAAAGAGGAGGAGAUGGAGGGGUGGCAGUGAUGACUGACCCCUCUCCCACGGUGUCAUCUCUGACCUUCAGAAUAGCCAGAGAGCAUUGAACCUCAGGAGACAAGAUGAAACAGAGAUGCCACACAAACAUACGCAGGAAAAACACAAACAAUGCGGACAAAAAUAGAGCUUAUACAGCAACACAGUAAAAAAAUAAAAUAAACACAUUGCUGACACAAAUUCACUUCUUCACACACGAGCUGGCACAUGUUUAAGUAAUGCAUUAAUUCCUGUGAAAUUGGUCUGUGGUUUAUUUGCCUGUUUCAAAAAUAGAAUUAAAAAAAUGUCAGUGCUUGAGCAGAGAAUGAGCGCUAUUCAUAAAGGUACAAGAACACAAGAGUCAUGUCAUUUUCAACACACACACACGACAGAGAGAAUGAAUCUGGUCCGAGUAGCUGUGACCUUGAAGGAGGAUCUGUUGAGUAUUUGAGAAGGGAGUGCUGGGUGAAACAAAAGUGGGCCAUGUUGGCAUCUUGGCCCACUCAAACUGUGACACACACACACACACACACACACACACACACACACACACACACACAAAGCCAACAGUGUUAGCUGUGGUAACAUUAAUUUGUCCUCUUUCAUAGAUGAUUACACCCAGCAGGAGACAGGGGGCAUCUCUUUAAUGACAGUCUUUCACACCCAAACACUCCACCAGACGCGCAAGAUAUUUAGGUAAGAAGGAAAGCUGAGAGUUGAGGAUAAAUGACACAGAGAGCAGUGCAGGAGAACAAUAAAGUGAAUUAAGAAAAAGAGGAAAAAGUAAUGAAAGAAGAGGAAAAUAGGAGAAUGAUGGCAGUAAUAAAUUAUAGUCGCAGGAAGGAAAAGGCAAGUCAGGAAAGAUGAUGGAAAAGGAAAACAAAACAAAGGUGAAUGCAGGAAAAGAUGAAAGGCAAGCAAACAAGAGAAUGAUGUGGAAAAUGUAGAUAAGUGACAUAGUUAUGUGUACAGUUGUGUGUUUGUGUGCCGGAGGGCAAUGUACUUGUCAAAUGCCAGCCAACAGAUGGUGUCUAAUCUAUGGAGGGCACCCCCCACCCCUGAGGCCACAGCAGGAACUAAGGAUCCAAAGUGGCGCUCACACAAUUAUCAACUGUCAAUGGGGUUCAUCUCUAAAAAGAGCACAUAGAAAAGCAUCCGCGCCACAGGCCUUUAAACAUGAAAAAUGGAAACAUACAUGAGUGUGAUAAAGUUUUAGCCAUUUUAGGUCUUUACAUUUUUAUCCACUUUUAUGCACUCGCAGCAAGAAAGCAUCUGAUCAGUCGCAAAUUUAUUCCUCACCAAGUAGACAACGACUCCUAACAUACAGCCAGAGUCAUAAAGAGCCAUCUUAAGUAACAAAAAGAACAAGCAGUCCUGCAGCAGAUGGUCUGUCCCCCACAGAGGCCUGAUCUCGACAUCAUUAAGUCAGUCUGGGAUUACACGAAGAGACAAGAGAUACUGAGACUUCCUAAAAGCACAAAGAAACUGUGGUAACUUCUCCAAAAUGCUUGGAAGAACUUACCUACCAAGUACAAUCGAAAAACUUCAGACAUUUACCAAAGAGAAUUUCUACUAUUUUAAAGGCAAAUAGUGGUUACAUGAAAUAUCUGGUGGCACUUUGUGUGUUGUGCUAUCUGGCAAAUGAAAAUAUUCACGGAAUUUUUAUUUUAAAAGUAUUUGUUCAUUCUUUGUACAGUGUGGUUUUAUAGACACAACUUCUACAGGUGUGCAGUCGUGAAGAUAUUUCUUGUUGUAUUUGUCAGAGCUUUUAGAUUUAAUUUUUUCUUCUGUUGCAUUUCUUUAGGUAUUUUUGAAUGUUGGGAGCAAAACAAACUAAACUAGAAUUUAGGAGGGAUAAAAACAGAAGUUUAAGGAAAGAUUAUUUAAACCAACUCUAAUUAAAACUUUUUGCAUCACUGGAUGCAGCUCAGCGUUAAGUGAGGAAAUGUGUUCUUUGUAAUUUGGGUGAACUGAACCCUUGAGCCUGCGGUUAAUUCACUUUGCCACCGAGUUAAUUUUGGAGGUCAAUUUUCUUUAGAAUCAAUAGGGGGGGAAAAAUCCAUGGCGAAUCUGUCAUAUCCCAUCUGUCACAAAAUUUCGUAUUUUAACUGAUGCUUUCAUCCGGGGUAAAUUGGAAUAAAUGAGCAGGUAAGUGUACAACAUCAAGAGCACUCAUCUCUUGAUGUUGUACACUGGUUGUCACAUCUGUGACUUCUCUUUUAUGGCACUUUGUUUUAUUUCACAAGGGCAGACAGGUUGGCCUUAUAUUUGAAAGAAAGACCGUGGAAAUAACUUCCUAAUUCAAUAGCGCAUUACCCCAAAUUCCUGAUGAAUGCUUAGUCACAUACAACAUUUACUCCCAGCAAACACACACACACCAUAAUGUCUACGUGGCUCUGUAUGGUGUCUGUCUGCCGUAGCCCUCAGUGCUGAUGCUGCUGUAAGCAAGUGUCUGAAUCAGCAAGAUCUAACACUGAAUGACUGACUGAGGAAGGUACAGCCAAACAGGAGCCAGGGCUGAAGGUGUUCGCCUGUGCAUCAAAGUAAACGUAUCUCUUUUUGUUUGUACGCGUAAACGACUACUCGAGGCGUGAGUGUGCACAGGUACAAUCUGUGAUGUGUACACGCGAACGUGAAAAUAUAUGCAAUGAAAGCUGAAAAGUGAAAGAAGGAAUAGGGAACCAUGUGGGAUGAAUUAAGCAUUUCUGUUAAAAAAAAAAAGGAGGUCUUGAAGGCCUGUUGAAAAGCUUGGUGUGAACAAAGAGGAACUGUUAGUCACCCUGGCCCCUCCUGAGCUGCCCCUUCCAGUGACAUGUGGUGAAUCAGAGGCCAUUUACACAGAAAUAAUAGCGUCUCAAAUCAGCAGUCAUUCUAAUAGGACUAAAUUACACUUUUUUUUUUUUUUUUUAUUUAAGCCAAAAGUCUAACGGGAACCUAUUGUAUUCUUCUUCAUGAAUAUCCAAGGUUCUUUGUAGAAACUACAAUAGUAUAUUCAGGCUACUGGGAAUGUUCUCUAAGCAACUGUGUAGUUGUGUGUACUUGUACUAUACACAGAUAUGGGUGUAUCUA